UACAGAGGUCUCGAGCGUUAGGCGGAAUCACUGGGCUUGAAAGCGUGUGUAGGUGGAUCGUUAAGUACCUUGUGAAAUCCCACGGGCUUAACCGUGGAACUGCGUUGGUAUACGUGGCGGUCUUGAGUCAGCUAGGGGCUACCGGAACAAAUGGUGGAGCGGUGAAAAUGCGUAGAUAUCAUUUGGAACGCCAAUGGUGAAAACAGGUAGCUGGGGGCUGAUGACUGACACUGAGACACGAAAGCCAGGGGAGCAAACGGG
rnacentral:rRNA from 1 species